rnacentral:tRNA from 2 species
AGGGGUAUAGUUUAAUGGUAGAACAACGGUCUCCAAAACCGUCGGUGGGGGUUCGACUCCCUCUACCCCUGCCA